GACGAACGCUGGCGGCGUGCUUAACACAUGCAAGUCGAACGGAGUGGCGAACGGGUGAGUAACACGUGGGUGACCUGCCCUGCACUUCGGGAUAAGCCUGGGAAACUGGGUCUAAUACCGGAUAGUGUGGGAUGGGCCCGCGGCCUAUCAGCUUGUUGGUGGGGUAAUGGCCUACCAAGGCGGCGACGGGUAGCCGGCCUGAGAGGGGGGACGGCCACAUAGGGACUGAGACACGGCCCAGGCUCGUACGGGGGGCAGCAGUGGGGAAUAUGGCACAAGGGGGGGAGGCCUGAUGGAGAGACGCCGAGUGGGGGAUACAGGCAUUCGGGUUGUAAACUGCUUGGACGAGGGACGCGGUAGAUGGAGAAGAAGCACCGGCUAACUACGUGCCAGCAGCCGCGGUAAUAC
rnacentral:rRNA from 1 species